AGCCUGCCAGUCCCACCCCGAGCGCGGCUGAGGAAUCUGGCGCCGGCUCCUACAACAAUAGUGCCCGCCCACCUGACCCCCCCUCUCUGGGAGAGGGCGGGGCGGCGGCCACCCCGGGAGCCCGAGACCCGGCUGGGAGAGGGUAGCGGACGGGAGCUGGGUAGAAGGUGGGUGCCCCAGCACCUACAGGCCAGAGGGGCGGCGGGGAAGAAGGGGAGGAGAGACUGCGGACGGGCGGAUCUAGGCUGGGAGGAGGCGGGGCGAGAAGAGAUGCGGGGACAGAGACGCUCGGCAACCCAGGAAAUACUCCGCCGGGAAACAAAGGGCUGGAGCGGGGGAGGGGAGGGGCCGCGGAGAGCCGGAGGGAGACGAGACCAGAACCGAGAAAGGAGCGGGCGCAGGUUACGGGGAGGUAGGAGAGAGAGAGAGAGAGAGAAAGGAGAGAUACGGGCAGAAGGAGGAUGGGGGGAGACAGGAAAAUGGAGAGACUGGGGGAGACAGAAGAGGCGGGAUGGGGGCGGGCGGCAGAAGGGGGAAGGGCCCCAGGUGAGCGGGCGGCGUGUCUGAGCCCUGGUGAUCCCAGAGACUCCAAAAGCGAACCCCUCAUUGGUACUAGGGAGGAAUGGAUUUGGCGACCUCAAGCCAAUGCCGUGAAAGUAGCCCCCGCUCCACCUGGUGCUCGACCCUCUCAGUGCUGGGAGCCUGCAGUAAAGAGCCGCGUCGCCUAACCGGUGCAAAAGGGGAGGUUUUGGUUCCCGCCGCCUGUUGCGCAGGCAGAUUUCAUCCUAGUCUGGCCAGGGUCGGGGUUCCCUUCCUCACUUCCUUGCCAAGAACUGUGCCAGGCAUUGGCAAGGCAUCCAUGAGAACUGGGCUGUUUUAGGUGAGUCUAAAAGAGCAGGAAAGGAACCAGAGGGUGGAGGUAGGGGGAUUGUUGUGGCUGGGUCAGAAGGUAGGAUCCUGACCCCAAUGCAGUAGGAAAGGGGAAGGGCAAGUCUCCCCAGAGUCACUAGUUUAAGGUCAGAUUUCCUCAGCAAAAGGAUGGGGGCGGGGUGCCCGGGAUCCUGGUUGGAGGCACCUGUACCACUCACUUUGCACCUGUCCUCCUUCAGAAGAGCACUGAAAUUUGAGGUUAGAGACAGAGCAGCAGCCCUUAUUUUGAGCGAAUUUCCCAGAAUGUCCACCCACUUGAGCUCCCUCCUUUUUCCAUCUCCUUAGCGAAAGUUUUCCUUUGCAUUUUGAUUGCCUGCCUGCCCCCUACCCAACCUCCCACCUAGAGGGGGAUGUGAGAUGGACAGAGGAAGGCUUCUGAGUUCAGUCCUUCUCCAUUCCCAGUUUCUAACCCCCAGGAGGGUGAAUCGGGAAUCUGCUUGUCCUUUUACCUUCCUGGGCUACAGGAGAAUUAAAAAUCCAAAACUGACAGGGUUUAAUGAGCUCUAUUAGAGAAAGCACUAUUCAUGGGAGAGAAGGACCAGAGAUCUAUUGGAGAAAGCACUGUUCACGGGAGAGAAAGACCACCCAAACCAACUGGCUUCUCACUUAUAUCACUUGUUCAUGUUCCCUUAGCAAGAAAAAGAAAGAGAAGGGGCCUAAUCUUAAAACCGUCUUUAGUCUGCCUUUAGUCUGUUUAGUCCUGUAAGUGGUGCAGUUCAGCCCUGACAAGCCUCUUCCUCCUGCUGGAUUUGGCAAUUUUGUCAGAGCCUCUAUUGGCUAAGGGGACCAAUCACUACUGGGAAAGGCGGUUUGCUUUCACAGUUCCCUCUCCUGAGUCUAGCAUCAUUUGGGGGUUGGUUAUAUAUUGAAAGUUCCCAGACACAUUGUCUUCUCACUUUUGUGCCUUCUCCCAGCUCCUCAGUAUUCCUACCCUCUUUUACUCUCUGCCUCUUCAAUUCCUUCUCUUCUUCCAGAGGGACAGAAAGGAGGAUUGAGGUGUGAAAGAAUACAACUCUCAAGGUGCUCUCUCCAGGGAGAUAACUCUAAUGGAGAGGAUAGCUGCUGAGGCAUCUGCUUUUGUUUCCAUCCCUAAUUCUACUCUCCUGGCCUCUCCUUUUGGGACUCCCCACCACCAGCAGGUCCUGGGGUCUGUAGGUGACGGUGGACCUGCCAUCAGCCUCAUUUCUUCCUCACACACCUUGUUGUCUUCAUCCCCAUCUGGAACAGUGUCUGAGUCUGCUCCUGAAGCAUGAGUUGCCAUGCCAACCACCCCCAGGAGAUAGGUUCAGGUUCCUCAUACCUGGGUCCAUCCCCUGGGUCUUGCAGAGCCUCAGAGCCUCUUUCUCUUUCCCCUAUCUGAGUUGCUACUCAAUGCCCCCUGCCACUUCUCACCUCACCCACACCUGCCUACUCCGGUUCUCAGGACAACCUAGUGACUUCCUGUCCUGUAAACAAGACAUGUACUUGUCAGUGUCCAUGUGUCCCCUAAUCCCUUUUCUUUUCCAUGACUGAACAUAAGGUGAGAGAGCUGAGGAGAGGUGGGCAGGAGAGGAUUCCAGGAGAGGAUUCCUUCUGCCCUUCACUAAAUAGGAAAGAGCCGUUAGACUGGAAGCUAUUAGAUACUCUAGGCAAGGAAGCAGGACAUAGGAGGAAAGCCCAAAUAACCAGGUUUGGGAGUUGGAGUUCUUGGGACCCUCUAAAGUACAUUCUGGCUUAUCCUGUAAGUGCACUAGGAACCUGAGCAGAUCCUAGUCCCUGAGCACUGAAUGGGGGAAAACUGAGGCAAGAGCUAGGACCUCUGAGAAGUCUUCAUCCACAGCAAGUCUUUAAGAUCUGGACCAAGCCAAGAUCUGGACCCUAGCAUUCUAGCUGCUCGGCUGCCCCCAGGAACUGCGAUACCAUCGACAGACCCUUAGUAUGAAGACUCCAGACUGCACUCCAUUCCCACCUCCAUGGGGCUCCUUUUAGAUACUUGGCCCCUCUGGAACUCUAGACCGCUCCUACCUCCAUCCUGGUCUCCAGGGACAGCCACGCUUAGUCCCGCAGCGACUCGGCAGGGCCUGGGGCAGCAGGGAGUAGAGUCGCGGGAUCGCUCCCCUGGUUGGACUCUUCUUCAUACCAAAGACGGCGGCUGGGGUACGGGGAGGGUGCAGCAGAUCCCCUUUUGGAGACGACACACACCGAAGCUGAAUGACCCGGGUCCCCACCGGCUAGAACUCUUUCCUUUUAGGUCGACGGCGCCCACCGCCCCCGUAACCUCCCCCCUCAACCUUCCCAUCCCCUGGAGAUCUUGGAAGACUUCUCUCCCCAUCUGUUUAGCUGACCUUCCACUCGCCCUCAUUCCAAAGGGAGCUGAAUUGGGGGAGAAUAAAUUCUCUCUACCCCCAGCUCCUCCUCAGGCGGGGCUUACUUAACCUGGAAAGCACUUUGUGAGGGCACCUCUUCCUCUCCGUUUGUGGUCUAGUCCAGUUGGUCCAAGGAUUCUCCUACUACCUGCCUACCCCCAAGUUACUCAGCUUCAACUAUUCAGAGGAGAUAAAGAGGUUGUGUGCGUUU